UACGUAGGGUGCAAGCGUUGUCCGGAAUUAUUGGGCGUAAAGAACUCGUAGGCGGUUUGUUGCGUCGGCUGUGAAAUCCCGAGGCUCAACCUCGGGUCUGCAGUCGAUACGAGCAAACUAGAGUGUUGCAGGGGAGACUGGAAUUCCUGGUGUAGCGGUGAAAUGCGCAGAUAUCAGGAGGAACACCGGUGGCGAAGGCGGGUCUCUGGGCAACAACUGACGCUGAGGAGCGAAAGCGUGGGGAGCGAACAGG
rnacentral:rRNA from 1 species